UAGGGAAUCUUCCACAAUGGACGCAAGUCUGAUGGAGCAACGCCGCGUGAGUGAAGAAGGUUUUCGGACCGUAAAGCUCUGUUGUUGGUGAAGAAGGAUAGAGGUAGUAACUGGCCUUUAUUUGACGAGAUACAACCAGAAAGUCACGGCUAACUACGUGCCAGCAGCCGCGGUAAUACGUAGGUGGCAAGCGUUGUCCGGAUUUAUUGGGCGUAAAGCGAGCGCAGGCGGAAGAAUAAGUCUGAUGUGAAAGCCCUCGGCUUAACCGAGGAAUUGCAUCGGAAACUGUUUUUCUUGAGUGCAGAAGAGGAGAGUAGAACUCCAUGUGUAGCGGUGGAAUGCGUAGAUAUAUGGAAGAAUACCAGUGGCGAAGGCGGCUCUCUGGUCUGCAACUGACGCUGAGGCUCGAAAGCAUGGGUAGCGAACAGGAUUAGAUACCCUGGUAGUCCAUGCCGUAAACGAUGAGUGCUAAUGUGGUGGAGGCUUCCGCCUCUCAGUGCUGCAGCUAACGCAUUAAGCACUCCGCCUGGGGGAGUACGACCGCAAGGUUGAAAC
rnacentral:rRNA from 1 species